UCUGGCCUGCCCAAUGAUGAUUUUUAAAUGGCUGCAGUAUUUUGACUGUACAAAGGUAGCAUAAUCAUUAGUUUCUUAAUUAGAAGCUGGAAUGAAUGGUUUGAUGAGAAAUUUGCUGUCUCAAUUUAAUUGUUUUAGAAUUUUAUUUUUAAGUGAUAAAGCUUAAAUUUAUUAGAAAGACGAGAAGACCCUAUAGAGUUUUAUUUAUUAAUAAUUGUUGGUUUUAUGAUUUUAGUGUUUUCAAUUUUUUAAUAAAUUUUGUUGGGGUGAUAGGAAAAUUUUUCUAACUUUUUCUUAUUUUUACACUAAUUAGUGAGUUGAUGAUCCUUUUUUAGAUUAUGAGAUUAAAUUACCUUAGGGAUAACAGCGUAAUUUUUUUUGAAAGUUCUUAUUGAUAAAAAAGUUUGCGACCUCGAUGUUGGAUUAAAGUUUAUUUUUGGUGUAGGAGCUGGGAAAUUUAGGUCUGU
rnacentral:rRNA from 1 species